rnacentral:rRNA from 1 species
CGUACGAUACGAGUUGAUCCUGGCUCAGAAUCAACGCUGGCGGCGUGCCUCAGACAUGCAAGUCGAACGAUUAAAGCUCUCUUCGGAGAGUGCAUAGAGUGGCGCACGGGUGAGUAACACGUAAGUAAUCUACCUUCGAGUGGGGAAUAACGUCCGGAAACGGGCGCUAAUACCGCAUAAUGCAGCGGCAUCGCAAGAUGACAGUUGUUAAAGGAGCAAUCCGCUUGAAGAGGAGCUUGCGGCAGAUUAGCUAGUUGGUAGGGUAAUGGCCUACCAAGGCUACGAUCUGUAACCGGUCUUAGAGGACGGUCGGUCACACUGACACUGAAUAACGGGUCAGACUCCUACGGGAGGCAGCAGUCGGGAAUUUUGGGCAAUGGGGGAAACCCUGACCCAGCAACGCCGCGUGAAGGAUGAAGUAUUUCGGUAUGUAAACUUCGAAAGAAUAGGAAGAAUUAAUGACGGUACUAUUUAUAAGGUCCGGCUAACUACGUG